AAUUGAUCACACAGUGCGAAGUACUUAUACUGAUAGUAAACAUUAUGGUACACUGUACUUUUACCAAAGGGAUAAAUGUUAUACCUUUACAUUGUAAGAACAUCCACCAAGUCAUCUGAGAAGAGAAGCACUAGAGAUGUUGUUCAUGAGGAAGAAAGGAAGAGAGAGAGCGCUGCAGAAUGAACUGCAGCAGAAAAUGUCUUCUUGCAUUGUGAAGUUUAGAUGGGAUUUGUGUCACUGUUGGAAAAAAGGUUGGCAUUCAUACAUACAGCUUAGGUAUUAUAAAAAAGUAUUGCUAAAUGUCAUUUGAAAACUGUAGCGAGGUGACAACAGCAUCAUGA